rnacentral:rRNA from 1 species
ACUCGAGUGGCGAACGGGUGAGUAACACGUGGGUGAUCUGCCCUGCACUUCGGGAUAAGCCUGGGAAACUGGGUCUAAUACCGGAUAGGAGCCAUUUUUAGUGUGAUGGUUGGAAAGUUUUUCGGUGUAGGAUGAGCUCGCGGCCUAUCAGCUUGUUGGUGGGGUAAUGGCCUACCAAGGCGGCGACGGGUAGCCGGCCUGAGAGGGUGGACGGCCACAUUGGGACUGAGAUGCGGCCCAG